rnacentral:rRNA from 1 species
AAUGGGCGAAAGCCUGACGCAGCGACGCCGCGUGGAGGAUGAAGGUCUUAGGAUUGUAAACUUCUGUUAAGUGGGAAGAAAAGCAUUGUUUUAAUACAGCAGUGAAAUGACGGUACCACUAGAGAAAGCACCGGCUAACUUCGUGCCAGCAGCCGCGGUAAUACGAGGGGUGCAAACGUUAUUCGGAUUUAUUGGGCGUAAAGGGUACGCAGGCGGUAUGCUAAGUCAACUGUUAAAUCUCCCGGCCUAACCGGGAUUCAGCGGUAGAUACUGGCAUACUAGAGGAUGGAAGAGAGAAGUGGAAUUCUUGGAGUAGAGGUAAAAUUCGUAGAUCUCAAGAGGAACACCGAUGGUGAGGCAGCUUCUUGGUCCAUUUCUGACGCUCAGGUACGAAAGCGUGGGGAGCAAACAGGAUU